UUGCUUACCGGGAAUGUACUGAUGGACAGUGGAAAGCAGAUGAGUCUCGUGUUCCUUUGACUGCUUGUGCCCGUGUCUGGAUGAAUAAAAGCGGGGUGAAGCAAAGCUACAGUCCCCUGGCUGCCCGAAUACUGAGCGGCCUCUGUGGUUUUGUCACCCAUCCUCAUUCGGCCCCAGGUCAAGGAGGAACCAAGGGUCUGGGUCCGAGAGCGAGGCCACCCAGCGGGUCGGCUCCAGGAGACGGACUCCGGCUCCAGGUCGCCCACAGGUUAUCAGCCAAUCACCCGUCCUCGGCAGAGAACUUACAGUACAUGAAAGGAAGCACUUAUCUGAGCAAGCAUCCAAGAAGCUACCAAAGAGCUGCAGCUUGGCUGGAUAUCCC
rnacentral:lncRNA from 1 species